UGCUCCGCAGCUUGAAGCGCCCAUCUAUCGAAUAGGGAGUCGUGGGUUCGAUCCCCACCGGAGCAC
rnacentral:tRNA from 1 species